UCACAAUAAUUUUGAACCUAACUUCUGUGUCUUGUACUUCAUAUUGCCACCUGGGUUUGUUUCUGUUCAGCUAAUGACCAUUAUAUAAUCCGGUUCUAUGUAUGUAGAUUGUGUAGAGCAAUGGGUGGUGCAGAGAAAGUUGAGAUUGAAUAUGGCAAUCACUCUCUGUCUAACAGAGUUACUGAAGCUGUUCAAGCAAUAAUGGACUUUGUAAAGAGAGGACCUACUGGAUGGGAUGAUCCUUGNUGAUCGGGAAUAUAAAGCAACUCUUCCUGAAACCGCGGCUAUGAUUGAUAUGGCCUCAAAGAUGAUUAGUGAGGGCCGAGGGUCUGAAUUAAUGCCCAGAGAAGCAAAUCCAGAUUCGCCUAUAACUGCCUAUAGGUAAGUACUGCAAGUUUUGGUUCUUCUGAAAUAGCUGUGAAACAAGUAUAGUUAAAAACGGAAGAAGUUGCUAACAGUUGAGUUUCUUCUUCCCUUUCUUAAUCCCAUACUUCCUGCUGCUGUUUUCAUAUGCCAGAAAACUUUUGAUCCCAUUGUUGCAAAUGAAUAGAUGCUUACUUAUGCGCAAAGAUCCCUUACUUUUCAGGAAUUCAGCACGAAGCAAAGACAUAAUAUCAUUUUUUUUGACAUAGUGCAACGUUUAUGUUAUUGGCCACCCUUUAAGUUUUCACUUUUAAAUAGCUGAACAUCAAUUACUCUGCAGAUACCAUUCCCUCUGUGCAUACAUGGGUGAUGAUGAUCUAUUCAGCUCUGACCUUAGUGAUGAUCAGUUGAAACAGAGACUAGGACACAUGUCAAACACGCCAUGCCAGGUUACUGUCCCCAUCAUGUCUUUCUUUCAUCUUUUCUCUUGACAUGUUUAAUGAAACGAUCGAAGUUGGUCUUGACAGGUUAUUUUUUCUAUGGGUGAUGAGUACAUACCGGAAUAUGUAGACAAGAAAGCAUUGGUUGACAGGCUAGUGCACUCUUCUAUGUUACUUGAACAUUAUAUGUGUUGAACUCACAAUAAUUUUGAACCUAACUUCUGUGUCUUGUACUUCAUAUUGCCACCUGGGUUUGUUUCUGUUCAGCUAAUGACCAUUAUAUAAUCCGGUUCUAUGUAUGUAGAUUGUGUAGAGCAAUGGGUGGUGCAGAGAAAGUUGAGAUUGAAUAUGGCAAUCACUCUCUGUCUAACAGAGUUACUGAAGCUGUUCAAGCAAUAAUGGACUUUGUAAAGAGAGGACCUACUGGAUGGGAUGAUCCUUGGAGCUAAACUUAAAUGGUCUCCUCCUGUAACUUCAAUUCACUUCUAAAUUUCCUCUAGCUCGUAUCGUGUCUUAGCGCAUCUCCAUGAAUUUCUUGCUAUUU
rnacentral:lncRNA from 1 species